GCCGAAGUGGUGGAAUUUGGUAGACACGCUACCUUGAGGUGGUAGUGGCGUAAGCUGUGACGGUUCGAGUCCGUCCUUCGGCACCA
rnacentral:tRNA from 1 species